rnacentral:rRNA from 1 species
AUUGACUAAGGUUUCCAGAGGAAGGCUCGUCCGCUCUGGGUUAGUCGGGUCCUAAGCUGAGGCCGACAGGCGUAGGCGAUGGAUAACAGGUUGAUAUUCCUGUACCACCUAUAAUCGUUUUAAUCGAUGGGGGGACGCAGUAGGAUAGGCGAAGCGUGCGAUUGGAUUGCACGUCUAAGCAGUAAGGCUGAGUAUUAGGCAAAUCCGGUACUCGUUAAGGCUGAGCUGUGAUGGGGAGAAGACAUUGUGUCUUCGAGUCGUUGAUUUCACACUGCCGAGAAAAGCCUCUAGAUAGAAAAUAGGUGCCCGUACCGCAAACCGACACAGGUAGUCAAGAUGAGAAUUCUAAGGUGAGCGAGCGAACUCUCGUUAAGGAACUCGGCAAAAUGACCCCGUAACUUCGGGAGAAGGGGUGCUCUUUAGGGUUAACGCCCAGAAGAGCCGCAGUGAAUAGGCCCAAGCGACUGUUUAUCAAAAACACAGGUCUCUGCUAAACCGUAAGGUGAUGUAUAGGGGCUGACGCCUGCCCGGUGCUGGAAGGUUAAGAGGAGUGGUUAGCUUCUGCGAAGCUACGAAUCGAAGCCCCAGUAAACGGCGGCCGUAACUAUAACGGUCCUAAGGUAGCGAAAUUCCUUGUCGGGUAAGUUCCGACCCGCACGAAAGGCGUAACGAUUUGGGCACUGUCUCAACGAGAGACUCGGUGAAAUCAUAGUACCUGUGAAGAUGCAGGUUACCCGCGACAGGACGGAAAGACCCCGUGGAGCUUUACUGUAGCCUGAUAUUGAAAUUCGGCACAGCUUGUACAGGAUAGGUAGGAGCCUUUGAAAC